UGAGAUAGGCAGUCACCCUGCAGCCCAAGACCAGUUACUCACUGAAGCUAAGCAGGGCUGAGCCUGGUCAGUACCUGGAUGGGAGACAACAUAGGAAAACAAGGUUGCUGUUGGAA
ensembl:rRNA 5S_rRNA 5S ribosomal RNA